UAAUACGUAGGCAGCGAGCGUUGUUCGGAAUUACUGGGCGUAAAGAGUGUGUAGGCGGUGCUGUAAGUUCGGUGUGAAAUCUCCUGGCUUAACUGGGAGGGUGCGCCGGAAACUGGAGUGCUUGAGCGUGGGAGAGGAAAGCGGAAUUCCUGGUGUAGCGGUGAAAUGCGUAGAUAUCAGGAGGAACACCUGCGGUGUAGACGGCUUUCUGGACCAUGGCUGACGCUGAGACACGAAAGCGUGGGUAGCAAACAGGAUUAGAUACCCUGGUAGUCCACGCCCUAAACGAUGCAUACUUGGUGUCGGCCAUUCAGUUGGUCGGUGCCGGAGCUAACGCGUUAAGUAUGCCGCCUGGGGAGUACGGUCGCAAGGCU
rnacentral:rRNA from 1 species